rnacentral:rRNA from 1 species
UUCUGAUUAGCUAGUUGGUGGUGUAAUGGACCACCAAGGCGAUGAUCAGUAGGGGAACUGAGAGCGGAACAAGCCACAGUGGAACUGAGACACGGUCCAGACUCCUACGGGGAGCAGCAGUGGGGAAUAUGGCACAAUGGGCGCAAGCCUGAUGCAGCCAUGCCGCGUGUAUGAAGAAGGCCUUCGGGUUGUAAAGUACUUUCAGCGGGGAGGAAGGGAGUAAAGUUAAUACCUUUGCUCAUUGACGUUACCCGCAGAAGAAGCACCGGCUAACUCCGUGCCAGCAGCCGCGGUAAUACGGAGGGUGCAAGCGUUAAUCGGAAUUACUGGGCGUAAAGCGCACGCAGGCGGUUUGUUAAGUCAGAUGUGAAAUCCCCGGGCUCAACCUGGGAACUGCAUCUGAUACUGGCAAGCUUGAGUCUCGUAGAGGGGGGUAGAAUUCCAGGUGUAGCGGUGAAAUGCGUAGAGAUCUGGAGGAAUACCGGUGGCGAAGGCGGCCCCCUGG